ACGAACGCUGGCGGCGCGCCUAACACAUGCAGGUCGAGCGGAGAUAUUAGUAAUAGUAUCUUAGCGGCGGACGGGUGAGUAACGCGUGGGCAACCUACCUUAAAGAGGGGAAUAACUUAGGGAAACUUAAGAUAAUACCGCAUAACACUAUAGUAGAGCAUUCUACAAUAGUCAAAGGAGUAAUCCGCUUUAAGAUGGGCCCGCGUCUGAUUAGCUAGUUGGUGGGGUAAAGGCCUACCAAGGCUGCGAUCAGUAGCCGAACUGAGAGGUUGAUCGGCCACAUUGGGACUGAGACACGGCCCAGACUCCUACGGGAGGCAGCAGUGGGGAAUAUUGCGCAAUGGGGGAAACCCUGACGCAGCGACGCCGCGUGGAGGAAGAAGGUCUUCGGAUUGUAAACUCUUGUCGACAGGGAAGAUAAUAGACGGUACCUGUGGAGGAAGCCCCGGCUAACUACGU
rnacentral:rRNA from 1 species